rnacentral:sRNA from 1 species
UACGGGGAAGGAUGAGAAGCUUCGACUAAGGUUCGAUUCGAGCGCAGCGAGAAAGCGUUGCCGCAGGCAACGACCCGAAGGGCGAAGCGCGCAGCGCUGAGUCAUCCUUCCCCCACCACCA